rnacentral:rRNA from 1 species
UACGGAGGGUCCAAGCGUUAUCCGGAAUCAUUGGGUUUAAAGGGUCCGUAGGCGGCCCUGUAAGUCAGUGGUGAAAUCUCCCCGCUCAACGGGGAAACGGCCAUUGAUACUGCAGGGCUUGAAUUAUUGGGAAGUAACUAGAAUAUGUAGUGUAGCGGUGAAAUGCUUAGAUAUUACAUGGAAUACCGAUUGCGAAGGCAGGUUACUAUCAAUAUAUUGACGCUGAUGGACGAAAGCGUGGGUAGCGAACAGG